GUGACUCAGUGGUAGAGUACUUGCCUUGCAUGCAUGAGGCCCUGGGUUCAAUUCCUCAGC
rfam:Dipodomys ordii contig_62218, whole genome shotgun sequence.